GUCCUGUUGGUGUGUGGCACACGACUGCUUCUCAUUACCAAUGCAACUUCAAUAACUACGGUAGGAGAACCCCGUUCGAGCCGGGGACGGGACA